GAAAUGCGAUAAGUAAUGUGAAUUGCAGAAUUCAGUGAAUCAUCGAAUCUUUGAACGCACAUUGCGCCCGCUAGUUAUUCUGGCGGGCAUGCCUGUCCGAGCGUCAUUUCAACCAUUAAGCCCCCGGGCUUGUGCUGGGGACCUGCGAGCUCUUCGCCCGCAGGCCCUGAAAAUCAGUGGCGGGCUCGCUGACACACCGAGCGUAGUAGCAUAAUUCUCGCUCAGGGCGUGCUGCGGGUUCCGGCCGUAAAAACGACCCCUCUGAAGAGAGGAGUCACGCAAGGUUGACCUCGGAUCAGGUAGGAAUACCCGCUGAACUUAA
rnacentral:misc_RNA from 1 species